AGUGAACGCUGGCGGCAGGCCUAACACAUGCAAGUCGAACGGCAGCACGGAGCUUGCUCGCGCAUGCAGGGGGGGACGGGCGGGUGAUGCCUAGGUAUCUGGCAGGCAUCUCGGUAUAAGGUGCUAACACGGGCGAUCAUACCCUAAACGCCCAUACGUCGAACGUGGGGGAGCAUCGGAUCUCCCGCCUUUAGGUGAGCCUAGGAGCGAUUAGCUAGUUGGCGGGGUAACGGGCUACAAAGGCGACGAGCCGUAGCUGGUCUGAGAGGAUGAUCAGCCACACUGGAACUGAGACACGGUCCAGACUCCUACGGGAGGCAGCAGUGGGGAAUAUUGGGCAAUGGGCGAAAGCCUGAUCCAGCCAUGCCGCGUGAGUGAAGAAGGUCUUCGGAUUGUAAAGCCCUUUUGGUUGGAAGGAAGAGCAGCAGGUUAAUACCGGGCUGUUUUGACGGUACCAAAAGAAUAAGCACCGGCUAACUUCGUG
rnacentral:rRNA from 1 species